AAAGCCAGCGCCACUCAGCUUGGAGGACAUGAAAGAUGCACAGCAAUUGUGUUGCUGAGGGCCAGACGUCACAAAGGGCAUCCUUCUCCGCCCUGGAGUUGUCAGUCAUGAAUGCUGUCGGAGCCUGCAGUGCACUGGAAGCUACACAGUGCAGAAGCCAAGAGGGCAAAGGCCGAGCCAAAAGUUUAGCGUCGUGGCAGCAAAAGGGCUCUUUGUGGCACCUCGUGGUGGCCGCGGUAGACUACGCUACGCAGCAUACCACUGCCAUCUCGGAGGCCAUGUGCAGCAGACGCAACUACGCACAAUGCAAAGAUGAAAUAAUUUUUUUUUGUCUCUUUGAGCUUGCAGUAUUUAUCAUUUAUUUAACUCAACAUUAGCAAUUAUGUAUUACUGAGAGUGCUCUCACGAUCACAAAACCAGCCAGUGUUGAUGGGCCAACACUGGCUAAUUUUCACAUCCAGAAAUGUAGGCGUUGGGCGACUGCGGAGGAGCGGCUAAUGUGCUACAUAAGCUGUUGCCUAAGAAAAAAACCUGUGCAUGGAAAACGUUGUGCCUACAAUGUGAUGUUUUGGGUAUUUCAAUGUGCCAUUAUCUGAAAAGUAUGAACUCAAUCGCAUUUUGUUCAUAUGUUUUACUUUUGUCUGCUGUUCCUUUGCAGUAAUAAAGAUUGUAGUUCAUAUUGA